rnacentral:miRNA from 1 species
AGAGAGAGAUUGUGUGCUCC